rnacentral:rRNA from 1 species
GACGAACGCUGGCGGCGUGCUUAACACAUGCAAGUCGAACGGAAAGGCCCUGCUUUUGUGGGGUGCUCGAGUGGCGAACGGGUGAGUAACACGUGAGUAACCUGCCCUUGACUUUGGGAUAACUUCAGGAAACUGGGGCUAAUACCGGAUAGGAGCUCCUGCUGCAUGGUGGGGGUUGGAAAGUUUCGGCGGUUGGGGAUGGACUCGCGGCUUAUCAGCUUGUUGGUGGGGUAGUGGCUUACCAAGGCUUUGACGGGUAGCCGGCCUGAGAGGGUGACCGGCCACAAUGGGACUGAGAUACGGACCAGACUCCUACGGGAGGCAGCAGUGGGGAAUAUUGCACAAUGGGCGGAAGCCUGAUGCAGCAACGCCGCGUGCGGGAUGACGGCCUUCGGGUUGUAAACAGAUUUCGCAUGUGACGAAGCGUGAGUGACGGUAAUGGGUAAAGAAGCACCGGCUAACUACGUG